UUUUGUGAUAAGUAAUGAAAUCAAAGAUACUCAUGCAUUUGUUGACAACAUUAUAUUUGAUUGAUAAUCCAAAAAAAUUUGAAGAGCAAAAUUCUUAGAAAAAACAGAAUCUUACUUGUAUGCUCAUGGAGAAAAACCCACAGCCAAAUUUCAAAUGGCAGAGUAUGUGUUUUAGAUAAAUAAAGAUAUAUAUAUCAAGAACAAAGAAAUUCAAUACCCUCUUGCAUGAACCUCUAUUUCUCACAAUUAGAAUCCCUAAGAGGCAGGUUCAAAGAGCCUUCCAGAAAAGAAACCAAGCAUCUAAACAGAUUUAUUAGUAC
rnacentral:misc_RNA from 1 species